rnacentral:sRNA from 1 species
CCUUAGCCCGGAUAGCAGUGUAAAUCCUUAUGAGCCGGGUUUCGGCGAUUAAGAUUGCAACGGAUAGCUGGAAUUAGC